rnacentral:tRNA from 2 species
GUACCCGUAGCUCAGCUGGAUAGAGCGACAGCCUUCUAAGCUGUAGGUCACAGGUUCGAACCCUGUCGGGUACA